GGUCCCGGGUGUUAGGACGUGGCGGAUCGACUAAAAAACGCAACGAAAACAACGAUUUUUUUAAACAAAAAAUGUGAAAUGAGUUUGCAAUGUUGUGCGGAAACAUAGAGGUCAUAAAUGGCAUAUGCUUCGUCGGACUGCAUAUGAAAAAGUGUUGAGUUUGAGAGAAUCCUGUGGGUCAAGACGGUAUCCAUGUGUUUCUGGCGUGUUUUCCGUAGUUCAUAAAGGGGAUUACUUACUACCUAGCCAGAGAAUCGAAUCUAUAUAAUAUCCUGUGAUGCACGGAACUAUCCUCUGAUUGAUGUUCACAGAGUUCCUCAAACAGAGUUCCCCUCAAUUACGGAAAUGUUUUCCAUUUAGGGUGCAUUAAAAAUUCCAAACGCGUUUGCACAUUAGCACUCCCAUUGGACAGAUAUGACUUCAUUUUCAGGUCAUACACGCCAUAUGCAGCAUGAGUCUUGCCACAGAUGUCAGUGCUGUACUUGCAGUUGCACCCGUUCCUUCUUCAUUCCCGGGGCUGGUCCACAUGAUUUACUACAAGCAGAUGAUUUAAUGUAACCGCAUAUGCAUACGAGCAUGCACACACACGCAAACGUGCGAUAUGUACAUACAUGGGGCAGGCCACUUCAGAUGCAUUCUCCUCGAUACCAGAACAGAACAUACCAGCCCAGACACCCCACACAUGUUUCAAUUGAAGCGUCAGUUGAAAGAAAAACCGGGACGACAGCGACGGUGACCUCCAUCUUGAAAACUGAUGCCCUGAUGAAGCGGUUCCAAAGUUGAGGAUAAUAUUUAAAAUUCAGAACAGCGAGACAUUUGGGAGUUCAGUCUGUAUUUGUUUAACAGUGCGUAAAUCAUGGCGUCAACGAGCUGCGACCUUGCCAAGAGCCCAUCUAGAUUCUGGCCAAAUCCGACGUCAAAACAAAUCGUUAAAAUGCAAUAAAACUCUCAGAGAAGGAGGAGGAGUCCACAUCCAUAUGCAAUCGCUAAACAAGAGCCAAGGCAAAUGCAUUCAAAUAAAAUUUUACCACCAUUUCCUCGAGCAUCAUCAGCAGGAGCAUCAUCAAACUAACGGCGGCAACAUCCGAGGCACCUCAUAAAAGUAAUGACGUCUAUGGGCCAUCAGCAUCUGAUAGAUACAUUUGUAUCUACGCACGGUGGCGAGGAGCGAAGGGGAUAUCACAAUAAUUAUGGCAUACGUCACGGAACUUGGGUUUUUAUAUCUUUUAUAUUGAUUGUCAUCGUGUCACACUAACAGAUCGUAAAAAAGUCGUAAAACCCGGAGACUCUCGCUCCUGCUCUGACUAUGUUCGGGCCGGGCCGUUGGCCGGGCGAGCGAGUGAGUGCGUUGCCAGCGUGAGCGAUGAAGUCCUCAUCCCUUGGGAUGUAUGCACUCAGGAUCGGGCAGGACCUCAGGCCGACUCCAGCUCUCGCAGAAGCAAUGGAUGCUGGGCUGGAUCGUUACCGCUCUGAGUGAGUUUCUCUGGUGCUCAAGCAAAGUGGCGUCAAGUCAUAAAAAGGCCAUCAAAUUUGGCCUCUGUUUGGUAUUAACCGCAAUUUGUUUAUAUAGUUGUUAAAAUGCCGUUCCAUCUUGUUCUGCUUAGCAUUUAAUUGUCGAAUGCCGGCUUUUCUUUUUACGAGCCAAUAAAAUUUAUUUAACGACAA